rnacentral:rRNA from 1 species
AGUGAACGCUGGCGGUAGGCCUAACACAUGCAAGUCGAACGGCAGCACAGUAAGAGCUUGCUCUUACGGGUGGCGAGUGGCGGACGGGUGAGGAAUACAUCGGAAUCUACUUUUUCGUGGGGGAUAACGUAGGGAAACUUACGCUAAUACCGCAUACGACCUACGGGUGAAAGCAGGGGAUCUUCGGACCUUGCGCGAUUGAAUGAGCCGAUGUCGGAUUAGCUAGUUGGCGGGGUAAAGGCCCACCAAGGCGACGAUCCGUACCUGGUCUGAGAGGAUGAUCAGCCACACUGGAACUGAGACACGGUCCAGACUCCUACGGGAGGCAGCAGUGGGGAAUAUUGGACAAUGGGCGCAAGCCUGAUCCAGCCAUACCGCGUGGGUGAAGAAGGCCUUCGGGUUGUAAAGCCCUUUUGUUGGGAAAGAAAAGCAGCAGGCUAAUACCCCGCUGUUCUGACGGUACCCAAAGAAUAAGCACCGGCUAACUUCGUG